AAUAUUAAGGUACUGUUUAUCUACACUCAAAAUCACUGUUCAUUCCGGUGACAUUGCUUCGUAAUGUCAGAGUAUGCGAGUCCGUAUAUGACAUGACAUAUCAAAUCUCGCAUACAUGUAUGUGUAUGUCAGUCGAUAAAUACGACUGAUCUCUUCUUGGGAUUGAUUGUUGGGACAGGGAGAGAAGGAUGACAAGAUCAUAGCAGUCUGCACCGAUGAUCCCGAGUACCGCCACUAUAAUGAUCUCAGCGAGCUCUCACCUCAUCGCAUCCAGGAAGUCCGACGAUUCGUCGAAGAUUGUGAGCUGCCAGUGUCCUUAAUUUGCUGCUUUUUGAAAAGAUCUUUUCCCCCUCAAUUCCGUUGUCUUUUCAACAUAAUGUUAAGACAAGAAGAACGAGAACAAGGAGGUUGCCGUGAACGAGGUUCAGCCUCCGAGCACCGCCCGGAUGCCAUCCAGUAGUACUCCAUGGGUCUCUAUGCGCAAUACUUUUUGCAGAGCUUGCGACAGUAGUCUUAUGACAAUUGUUUCACCAGUACUGAGCGUGUGUGGAAGAGUCGAGUCCCAGCAUGAGUAUGCUUAGCCAGGGAACACAAGUUUGCCUUAGCUGCUACUAGAGAUGUGUAUUUAUGUAUGCAUUACUGAAAAGUUGUAAGAAAUAGAAGCCCUAGUUGCUUGUGAAGCUGUUCCAGGCCUC